GGUGAGGUGAUUAGGCGGGACAUGGAACAGUUACAGCUUACCGAGGACAUGACCCUAGAUAGGAAGGUCUGGAAGACGCGAAUUACGGCAGAGGAUUAGGGCCUGUUCGGGUCGCUAAUGUAGGGAGGUAAUUGGUGGGGGUGUAUUCCUGGUAUGAUUCCGUAUUCAAUGUUCUGUUCCGUGUUCCGUGUUCUAUGUUUGUUACGAAUCUGUGUGCUUUCCUCUGCUUUAUAUUCCUGCAUUCCUGUUUUACUCUGUUUUAUAUUCCUUAUGGCUGCAGUAUCUAUGUUAUGUCAUCUGCUUCUGUGCUGUACUAUGUGUUUGUUUGAUAUCUCGUAACUUGAGCCGGGGGUCUUUCGGAAACAGCCUUUCUACUUCAUCAGAGGUAGAGGUAUGGACUGCGUACAUCUUACCCCCCCCAGACCCCACAAAGUGGGAAUACACUGGGUUUGUUGUUGUUGUUGUUGUUGUUGC
rnacentral:lncRNA from 1 species